GUUGUAUGGUUAAGUGACUAAGCGUACACGGUGGAUGCCUUGGCAGUCAGAGGCGAUGAAAGACGUAGUAACUUGCGAUAAGCCCAGAUUAGGUAGUAACAACCAUUUGAGUCUGGGAUUUCUGAAUGGGGAAACCCACGUGCAUAAGCACGUAUCCUUACCUGAAUACAUAGGGUAAGGAGGCGAACCGGGGGAACUGAAACAUCUAAGUACCCCGAGGAAAAGAAAUCAACCGAGAUUCCGAAAGUAGCGGCGAGCGAAAUUGGACUAGCCCUUAAGCUUUACACGCGUUAGACGAACGGUCUGGAAAGUCCGACGAUACAGGGUGAUAGUCCCGUAGUUGACGACGUGUGUUCAGUGAAAUCGAGUAGGGCGGGACACGUGAUAUCCUGUCUGAAUAUGGGGGGACCAUCCUCCAAGGCUAAAUACUACUGACUGACCGAUAGUGAACCAGUACCGUGAGGGAAAGGCGAAAAGAACCCCUGUGAGGGGAGUGAAAUAGAACCUGAAACCGUGUACGUACAAGCAGUAGGAGCAGGCUUUGUCCUGUGACUGCGUACCUUUUGUAUAAUGGGUCAGCGACUUAUAUUCAGUGGCAAGGUUAACCAUCUAGGGGAGCCGUAGGGAAACCGAGUCUUAACUGGGCGUUCAGUCUC
rnacentral:rRNA from 1 species